rnacentral:rRNA from 1 species
UAACACGUAAAGAACCUGCCUCAUAGACUGGGACAACUAUUGGAAACGAUAGCUAAUACCGGAUAACAGCAUUAACUGCAUGGUUGAUGUUUAAAAGUUGGUUUUGCUAACACUAUGAGAUGGCUUUGCGGUGCAUUAGCUAGUUGGUGGGGUAAAGGCCUACCAAGGCGACGAUGCAUAGCCGACCUGAGAGGGUGAACGGCCACACUGGGACUGAGACACGGCCCAG